ACUGAGCCUCUCUCUCUCCAG
rnacentral:miRNA from 1 species